GUUUAGAAUUAUAUUCCCGGGUUCAAAGUGGUUGGUUACUUUGUUUUAGAUUGGCUAGCGUUGGGCUGUCUUUCGUUUUUCCGUUAUGAGAACAGUAAUAAGUAGUAAUUUCCAGUACCUGAUCUGACAUAAAAGCUUCUCUGCAUCGUACAUCAGUAAACCCUCCCUUUUGUCUCAUGUUAAAUUGUGUUCGCUUUAU